AGCACAACGACCAACACAGAGACCCCAGAGUCUGGGUGAUGGAAGAGGAAGACAGAAAACAGUUUAUGCAACCUGUGAAAACACAGCACUCAGGAGCUGAGGCAGAGGCUCUCCAGUGUGGCUAGCCUGAACUACAGAGCAAGGUUCUGUCAACAGAGUGGGGUUAGGGGGAAAGGGACAGAGAAGAGGGAGGGAGGAGAGAAAAGAGAGAGUGUGAGUUUUCUCACCAAGUGUCUCUGGAGUCAAAGACAAUUCAAUCAAACUUUCUGAGGGCAGAAAUUGACAAGGUGAUUUAAAAGUUAUACAGACAUACAAAAGAUAUGAACUAGCAAGCUCUGAUUUUCAGGAAAGGUUGAAUGUUUUUGUCAUGCUAAAACCUCAAGUUCUCCGUGAAGCUGCAGUGACGAAAUCCAGUGCAGGUGCGUGCGGACAAUGGACUCACUGUGGCCAUGAAACACGGUCACUUUUGUUCCAAAAUCUGAUUCUUGACAAAGCCAAUAAAGGAAGGAAACAGUCUUAAACAAAUAGUUCUAGAAGAACAGGACAGUACUACAGGAAAAGAAUUCAAUGUCCAGUUCAUCACACAUGGCAAUGAAAGUAAGGUGGAUCAGAGACCUGGACACAAUUGCAGCUUCUGGGACCGGAUAUGGGAAAAUAGUUCCCCAACCUCAGGGAAGAUUUUGAAGAACACAGGAAGCUUUCCCCAUGAAAGAAAAACAAAUGAGGCAAUUCUGAUUGUAUCCAAAGUAAACUCUUCUGCCCAACAAGAGACUGUUUACUUCCACUUCUGGUCAGGAUGGAGUCACAGGAUCCAAGCUUAAGCAUCCUGUCCCCUGCACUGUGAUUCCUGGGGACCAGGACAGUCUGGGCACUGAGGCAUGCCUGUGGAGUGGCCCGUUCAGAGAGAACCAUCUGGGGCCAGAGACGUUGACUCAAACAUUGAAGCCUGGCUCCAAGUUGUAUCUUUGGGUCAUACGUGUGGGUGGGAAGUCCCAAAUGCAGGUCUCUUUACCUAGCAUGUCAGUCCAUUCUGGAGGCUCCUUCCCCACCCUUCAGGGUAGCUGUUGAGGGUUUAAUCAGGCUACCCACCCCCAUGGCCAACCCCAGUUUCUUCCCAGGUACUCGGCUCCUCCUUCCUUGCCUCCUGUCCAGGGCCCUGGCUCCAGCUGCUCUGCCCGGCUGAGCGUUACUAUUUUUGGCUGUAACCUAAGCAGCUGCCCAUUAAAAUUCCAUUAGUUUCAAAGGCUGGAGCUGCAGUUGAUAUUUCUAAUUAUUGUGAAAUUAAAAUUGUCUCUGUAAUUUAAUGAUAAUUGCACGAGAUGCCAGCUGGUGCCCCAGGGAGCUGCCCUGUUCCUAAGCAGAACUUGGAAAGUCUCUUGAAAGUUCUUUGAAUAAGGAAACAGGAAGGGGAGGAGGGGGCCGGCACACAGUUGGAAUCUAAAUUUCCGGCAUCAAUAGGCUGUGGUGAACCCAGGCCUCUGAGGAGGCAGCUUGGCUCCCUGAGUCAGUGGGGCUAUAGUGAAAGGUUGACACCAGCCUUCUCCCAGCUCUGAGGAUAGGAUUGAUUGGGGGGUGGAGAGGGGAUAGCUUGAUAUAUUACAAUCUAACCCUAUGGGAAUAAAUGUGACAUUAUGGAGAAGGUUCUAGAAGCUUACAGAAGCUCUUUCUGGGACGGGCCUUGCAUUUAAUGGACAGUUUUACUUUUGUUUGUUUGUUUUGUUAUGGUAGUGGUGGUAGUGGAUUUUGUUGUUGUUUUCUUAAUGCAGUGAGUCUCCAAGGAACGGAGUUCUGCUUGAUUUACUGGCCUCUCUUCCAGCCAUGUCUGGAGAACUGACAGGAGGACUGGGGGGCCAUGCUGCUGUCCUGAUGAACUUCCAGUUCUCGUGAGUCUAAGGCUCAGGUCAGAUUCUAUGUUCCACAGGCUGCCAAGGCCCCAUACUCUGGAUGCUACAUGGCCAGUGAUACUCUGUGUUAGCUGUCCCUUGAGGCAGGGCAAGCCCAGGUUCUGACCAUUUGCAGAAUGACGGUUCAGCACAAAGCCAUCUCCCCUAGUGAACUUUACCGAGUGGCAAGAAAGCUCUGUAUGCGGCCAUUUCUGCUCUUGCAUCGUUCUGCGUCUGGGUAUCUGCUCAGGCACACGAUGACUGUUCACCACCCUUCUCCCAGGACAGCCCUGCAGUGGGCAGAGCAGCCCACGUGGCUCCCUAUUCAACUGUCCUUGUCCUUUAAGCCAACUCUGUGCUUAGUUUAGUUGCUAAUUUUUUUUCAAUUUCUACUUCCUGUUAAAACUGUGUUUGGUUGCAGAUAUGAGAACAAUACCGAUCUGGUUUGAACUCACGUCUUAUUUGCAUAAAAAAAAGCAAAGCCGGGGUACCAGCACCACGGUAUCCUCUGACUUUCAUCCUUAAAGUUCCCUUGGAGUGCUAUAAAGCCAGGAGCCAGACGCCUCCACCUCACUCUUUUUGGUGAAGAAAUGAAAGGACAUGAAAAAAAAUAGGAUCUGGCAAGAUGGCUCAGCAGAUUAAAGGCAGUUGCUGCCAAGCUGGACAGCCUGAGUUCGAUUCCCAGAACCCACAUGGUAGAGCAAGGUAAUUGAUUCUUGCAAGUUGUCCUCUGACCUCCACGACAUGUUCAUGCCAAGGCCACCAACACACUGCACACACACACACACACACACACACACACACACACAGAGAGAGAGAGAGAGAGAGAGAGAGAAACCUGUGUCCCUAUUUGAAAAGCCUGUUCCCUAUAUUUUGCAGCAGCUUUCUCGGAUAUCUUGCUGUCACCAUAAAUUUUAAGGGACGUGUGACUGGAUUUAGCUAGGAACAUUGCUGCCCAAAAUAAAGUAAUAAAGAAUGAAUAUUGACAGUGUCAGAAGGUGCUGUGGGCAGGGUCUCCGGAUGACAAGAACCUGGGCAGACCUAGACACAAACUGUAUGGAGUCAGAUAAAUAAACCUGGCCAUUCUGGCCUCCAUGAGGGCAGGGUACAGCCCCCACCCCUGAGCCUGGUACCAGGCCACGACCUAGCACCUCCCAAGCCCUUCAGGAAGGGCCUCCUGGGUCAGUUCACUGCAGGGUCACAGGUAAGCAAGCACCCACUGGGAGAGUGUGUGUAGCAAUUGCCAUUACGGGAACUGGACCUUGAGCCUUUGUGGGACAAGAUUAGGAGCUGAAGUCCAAGGAGAACCGAGUCAUUGCAGAAUUGGAGCGGCCCUGGGUGGCAAUCUCCAGGGACAUCUGGACACCAGGCGUGUCCUGUUGUGUGCAGCUUCUGAUGAACCCAUGACUUCACAGUAAGGUACCAGGGUGGGUGCCAGUGGGGGCAGUGGGGAUAACCAUGCCAUGGGAGCUCCUGGGACAUCUGUACAUCUCCCACUGCCCAUGACCAACAACCCUCUGACCUCCUGUCCUCAUAGCCUCACCUUUGACCCUGCUUGUCCUAGAACACAGAGUGGAGAUUGUGGGAAACGUGGAUUCCAGCAUGUGGAGUAUUCCUCAACUACUGUACAACAGAUCACUACCAGGUACACUCAGGGCAAUGUCUGCUAAGAAGGACCUGUGGAGGUCCCUGGAAGAUGCAGGCAAGGAUGGGUAUCCCUGGAGCAGGUCACCCAGGCCUCCCGCAGGAAGUUCCCACAAGCUUCAGUUCUUGCCUUAUCUCAAGUCUAUCUUACGCAGAACCUCUGUCCAGCCCACGUCACCUGGAUGCUUAAAGCUCUCUUGUCAUGAUUGAUCGUUUUUACCUUAAUAACUGAAUUACUUUCCAAGUCACCCUGCUCAGAAACCUCUGAGAGCCCAAGAUUGCACUUCUUUCUCUAGAAAGAACCUUUAAGUCUCUGUCCCUAACCUUUAAGUUUUGCUCACCUGUAACUGUGUUAGGUCACGAUUUCAGUGCAGCCUCACUUCUUGCCGUUUCUACCUGGACCACUGCUCAUCACUGUCAGGGUCAUUUCUGCCAAGUGUGUGAAAUGUCAGCAGGGCUUCGAGCUGGGCCUCCUUCUCCAUCUACCCCUGAAGACUACAGCAGAGCCUUGGCAACUCCUCCCAGUGGGAGCUGCCAUCUUGGUAACUAUUCCUGUGAGGCUGGACUUCUGGACAGAAUCCUACAUUUAACAACCAGAAACUCUCCCAGCAGCAGCACACACAGAUGCCUGAGGAGCCCUAGCUGGUUACUUCGAGUCAGAAAUUUGUACAAAUAUAAAACAAUGCCACUUUCCUUGCUGAAACCUUGUUUUGGAAAAUACAUUUUUCAUACAAUUGGUCUUGAUGGUAACAUGUAAUAGGUUUAUUGUUCUGAAAUAAAUAACAUUUGCAUGUGUCUAAAGUUGAUUUUUUUAAGGUUUUCUCUAGGUACUAGUGCUGCUGUCUGGAACUCUUCAAAGUUCUCUGGGAUCCUUGAUCACUUUUCUGAGUCACCAGGAUCCGUGAGAUGAUGGUCUGGACUCUACCAUGCUCCAGUGACAUGCUGAGCUGCCCGCUGAGGUGCUGCAUGAACUGUGGAGCUGCCACUUAAAGGAACAUCUCCUCAGAUGGAUCCUUGAAGAGGCUGUUACAGUCCUCUUAGCCAGGGAGUGAGGCUCUGUCCUUGAGGUUCUUCCCAGUUUCUGAGUCCCUCAGACUUCCCUGUUGCUGUUAAAAAGCCUCCAUGACCAAGGCAACUUAAAGGAAUGGUUUAUUUUGGCCCAUGGUUCCCGAGGGAUAAGAGACUAUCACCAUCGUAUCAUGGAAGCGUGGCAGCAGGCAGGCAUGGUGGCAGGGACACCUGAGGGUUCUUAUCUUAAACCACAAGCAAGAAGCAGAACUCACAAGGAAUCACACAAGUCUUAUAUUCUCAAAACCUGCCUCUGGUGACAUAGCUUCUCCAGCAAGCUCAUACCCUAAGCCUUGGAAACAGCGCCACCACCUGGAGACUGGGCAUUCGAUUUGUGAGACUGUGAGGGACAUUUCUCAUUAGCACCAACACAGGCUCCUGCUGUGUCCCAACUUCGAACAACUGAGCGAGUCUUCCCACCUUUGGCCCUAUUCUUUGUUUCAUAUGAAUUUAAACAUAUUUUUUGUUGUUUCACAAGAAAAUCUACAGUUCUUUCAGGAGCAUACCGGGAUCACGUGAAUACAACGUGCAGGCUUUCUCUGGAGGCUUUCUGUCCCACCCAGCGCCCCACGCCUGCGUACUGUCUUGCAUCCUUCAGUGACACUGCAUAUCUUCACAAGGGCCUCUGACUCUCUGGGUGAAUCCACUCCUGGGCAGUCGACGACUCUGGUCUCAGUUGAGUGGACUCGUUUCUCAGUCUCGAUUUUAAUGCUUUCAGGUUGAAGCGCUUGAGGUUUUGUGUUUUUGGUCUUCUGGAUCAUCGAAAGUGCUGGAAAUAAAGGUAAUUGUCACGUUGUGUCAUGCCAUGCCAUGUCAUUUCAUCCCUUAGCUUUCUUUGUUUGCUGACCAGUGUCUAGUUCUGGAUGUCAGAGGAUCAGGUAGUGAUGGUGAAAGCACUUGAUAGGUUUAGUUUCCUGGGUUCAUGUUUGGCUGGACCUGAUCAGAUAUUUUAGUGUUUACUAAUAGAGCUAUUUUACUCCUCGAAUGACCCAGUAGCUAAAGAAGAAACCAGAAAAUCCUCAAAGACAUACCAGGUGGUUAACAGCUGAGUCCCACUGAGUGUUGAGGGGACAAAUGAGCAGCCCG